GACGAACGCUGGCGGCGUGCUUAACACAUGCAAGUCGAACGGAAAGGCCCUGCUCUUGUGGGUUGCUCGAGUGGCGAACGGGUGAGUAACACGCGAGUAACCUCCCCUUGUCUUUCGGAUAACUUCUGGAAACUGGGGCUAAUAUCGCAUAGGAUCUCCUGCUCCAUGGUGGGGGUUGGAAAGUUUCGGCGGUUGGGGAUGGACUCGCGGCUUAUCCGCUUGUUUGUGGGGUAGUGGCUUACCAAGGCUUCGACGGGUAGCCGGCCUGAGAGGGUGACCGGCGACAUUGGGACUGAGAGACGGCCCAGAAUCCUACGGGAGGCAGCAGUGGGGAAUAUUGCGGAAUAGGCGGAAGCCAGAUGCAGAAACGCCGGGUGCGGGAUGACGGCCUUCGGGGUGUAAACCGAUUUCGCCGGUGACGAAGAGUGAGUGACGGUAAUGGGUAAAGAAGCAACGGCUAACUACGUG
rnacentral:rRNA from 1 species